UCACAUGACCAAUGUCAGGUGUGACAGUUCGUAGAGGUUAGGUGGACAUCUUAGGGAGAGGACAGUGGCUGGACUGGUGUGAGGAGGUACUGCACAGGUUACCUGUAAAAGCCACUGUACCCGUGACCGGAGUUAGAGAAAUGUGAGAGCCUCCCGCAGCAUAUCUACAGCUUCCAGUGAUCGCAGCUGACAUGGGAGUGUGGUGAUGUAGCUCCCAUCCUAGGGGCAGACUGGAGGCAGUUCCCAGCCUGAGAAAGGGGAUGGUGCUUCAGUGAACACACUGAACAGGAGCUGGUGUAGAGUAUUCACAUUGAAGCAUUGGAGCUAUCCUGCUGGGUCUUUUAUUUUAUACCUGAGUUUCGGCCUGGCAAGAGUUAUGUAUGGACUGUGAUGCUGGAGUUCCUAAGGUGGGCACUGGGGGCAGCCGCUAUUAUUUAACCACCUUAUCCCUAUCACCUCCCCUAGGCAAGGGGGGAACCCAGUCGAUCAUCAUGGAACGCAGGGUAGAGGGUUGAUGUUUAUGUUGCAGGAAAUGUGCAGCAACUGGUUUAUCAGUCUUGCCUGUAGAAUAUGCCAAAUGGAUAGACGACCGGUGCUGAUUCAUUCUUUCACGGAACGUCCGGACCGUCUUGCCGAUAUACAAUUUCCCGCAUGGGCAAACAAGUGUUUAUGCUGUACUCUCUGGUAUCCUUCCCAGUUCCUCUCCAGCUUACUCUGACUGUGAAUAUAUUGGAAGAUUUGGUUUAAGUAUUUCAGGAGAAAAAAAGAGGCUGUACAGUACAAGAAUAAGAGAUCUAAGUCUAUUCCACUCCCUCAAGUUUGCUCAAUGGCCGGGGCUUGACACUUUUUAAGUGUUUGCUUUUGGGAGAAAUAUCCCUGGUUUAAUUUAUUUUCUGGGUGUGCUACUGAACACCAAUUCUUUCUUUUUUUUUGGAGCAGGUAAGUGCCCUUGGCCUGUGUUGGUGCCUGUUUGUUUUAAUGGUCUGUAUGCUGUUUUUUGACUGUCAUUUGUGUUCUCUUGUAGGUGUUUGCUUUUGGGAGAAAUAUCCCUGGUUUAAUUUAUUUUCUGGGUGUGCUACUGAACACCAAUUCUUUCUUUUUUUUUGGAGCAGGUAAGUGCCCUUGGCCUGUGUUGGUGCCUGUUUGUUUUAAUGGUCUGUAUGCUGUUUUUUGACUGUCAUUUGUGUUCUCUUGUAGGUGUUUGCUUUUGGGAGAAAUAUCCCUGGUUUAAUUUAUUUUCUGGGUGUGCUACUGAACACCAAUUCUUUCUUUUUUUUUGGAGCAGGUAAGUGCCCUUGGCCUGUGUUGGUGCCUGUUUGUUUUAAUGGUCUGUAUGCUGUUUUUUGACUGUCAUUUGUGUUCUCUUGUAGGUGUUUGCUUUUGGGAGAAAUAUCCCUGGUUUAAUUUAUUUUCUGGGUGUGCUACUGAACACCAAGUCUUUAUUUUUUUUGGAGCAGAAAAAAUGUACGCUCCUGCAAUCCUUUCCCUGAAUGCAAAAUUUACUGGAAGUUCACAUGAUGCAUAUGUCAUUAGACAAUCAGGGAUAUGGCAGAGAUUAAGAUCAAGUCAACGAGCAGACAUGUGGUUAUUGGGAGACCGUGGAUAUCCUUGCACCCCCUGGCUCAUGACUCCUUACCGUAAUCCCAGGCCAGGACCACAGAUGGCAUUUAACUCCGCGCUUACUGCCACUAGGCAGCUGGUGGAGCGCACAAUUGGUGUCCUUAAAGGGCGGUUUCGUGUGCUCCACCGCACUGGUGGCGACAUCAUGUAUUCGCCGGAGAUGGCAAGUAAAAUAGUGGUCCUGUGCGCAAUACUACAUAAUAUCGCGGUAAGGAGUAGUGUAGAGCUUCCUCAGGCAGAGGAAUUGCCUGAUGAGGAGCCAGGGGUUGGUCGACGCUUCGGUGGGGGGAGUGUGACACGGAGGGGGAGCCAAGUGAGGGCAAGAAUUGUUGCCGAAUAUUUCAGCUGAAUGAUCACACGAACUGUGGACAACAACGGCACAACUCUCUGCCCCCUUCCCACUCCCACUCCCCUUCUCACUCCCCCUCCCCUUCUCACUCCCCCUCCCCUUCUCACUCCCCCUCAGCUUCCCAGUCCCCCUCAGCUUCCCAGUCCACCUCAUCUUCCCAGUCCCCCUCAUCUUCCCAGUCCCCAUCAGCUUCCCAGUCCCCAUCAGCUUCCCAGUCCCCCUCAGCUUCCCUGGCCCACUCCACUUUCCAUUCCCCUUCUCACCACACCUCUCCAUCUCUUUCUGGGACCCCUUCUCCUCCUUCCCAUACCCCUUCUCCUUCAACUUCUACAUCCCCAUCUGAACCCCCCUCACCCUCUAUUGCCUUAACUUUCUCUCCGCCCCCCUCGCCCUCUCAAUCAGACCCCCCCUCUGAAAUUUGCGCCCAAAUCCAGCCUCCUUCCCCCAUCCAGCCUCCUGCCCCAAUCCCUCCUCCUUCCCCAAUCCCUCCUCCUUCCCCAAUCCCUCCUCCUUCCCCCAUCCAGCCGCCUUCCCCCAUCCAGCCAACAUCCCCACCCAGUGAAUGGGCAGAGGAAGCCCCUGAAGACCGUUCAGGGAGUCUUGAUGUUGCCGUGGAAAAUGUUGCCGUUGGAGAUCCCACAUCGUUACAGUAUAUUUUUACAAAUAUGAGGCACCAUCUCCAGGCCUUGUUGGCACUUGUUGACGACAUGGAA